GCUCUGUGGGAUCAGUGGCGAACGGGUGAGUAACACGUGAGCAACCUGCCCCUGACUCUGGGAUAAGCGCUGGAAACGGCGUCUAAUACUGGAUAUGUGACGUGAUCGCAUGGUCUGCGGCUGGAUCGACUUCUUGUUGGGGAUGGGCUCGCGGCCUAUCAGCUUGUUGGUGAGGUAAUGGCUCACCAAGGCGUCGACGGGUAGCCGGCCUGAGAGGGUGACCGGCCACACUGGGACUGAGACACGGCCCAGACUCCUACGGGAGGCAGCAGUGGGGAAUAUUGCACAAUGGGCGCAAGCCUGAUGCAGCAACGCCGCGUGAGGGACGACGGCCUUCGGGUUGUAAACCUCUUUUAGCAGGGAAGAAGCGAAAGUGACGGUACCUGCAGAAAAAGCGCCGGCUAACUACGUGCCAGCAGCCGCGGUAAUACGUAGGGCGCAAGCGUUAUCCGGAAUUAUUGGGCGUAAAGAGCUCGUAGGCGGUUUGUCGCGUCUGCUGUGAAAUCCGGAGGCUCAACCUCCGGCCUGCAGUGGGUACGGGCAGACUAGAGUGCGGUAGGGGAGAUUGGAAUUCCUGGUGUAGCGGUGGAAUGCGCAGAUAUCAGGAGGAAUACCGAUGGCGAAGGCAGAUCUCUGGGCCGUAACUGACGCUGAGGAGCGAAAGGGUGGGGAGCAAACAGGCUUAGAUACCCUGGUAGUCCACCCCGUAAACGUUGGGAACUAGUUGUGGGGUCCAUUCCACGGAUUCCGUGACGCAGCUAACGCAUUAAGUUCCCCGCCUGGGGAGUACGGCCGCAAGGCUAAAACUCAAAGGAAUUGACGGGGACCCGCACAAGCGGCGGAGCAUGCGGAUUAAUUCGAUGCAACGCGAAGAACCUUACCAAGGCUUGACAUAUACGAGAACGGGCCAGAAAUGGUCAACUCUUUGGACACUCGUAAACAGGUGGUGCAUGGUUGUCGUCAGCUCGUGUCGUGAGAUGUUGGGUUAAGUCCCGCAACGAGCGCAACCCUCGUUCUAUGUUGCCAGCACGUAAUGGUGGGAACUCAUGGGAUACUGCCGGGGUCAACUCGGAGGAAGGUGGGGAUGACGUCAAAUCAUCAUGCCCCUUAUGUCUUGGGCUUCACGCAUGCUACAAUGGCCGGUACAAAGGGCUGCAAUACCGUGAGGUGGAGCGAAUCCCAAAAAGCCGGUCCCAGUUCGGAUUGAGGUCUGCAACUCGACCUCAUGAAGUCGGAGUCGCUAGUAAUCGCAGAUCAGCAACGCUGCGGUGAAUACGUUCCCGGGUCUUGUACACACCGCCCGUCAAGUCAUGAAAGUCGGUAACA
rnacentral:rRNA from 1 species